rnacentral:sRNA from 1 species
GACGCGGUCGCUAUGGUAACUCGUCCGGGUUUCUGAGGUUUCUGUCAACAGUGAGAGGAAUAGUGAAGAAAUGCCUUUCUCCAUUUUGCUCUAAUUCUCCCUUGGUCCCGGCACUACGAUUGUUGCAUCCCUCCACAUCUCCUAAGGAGUGGGUGCCAGCUGACAAUGGGAGAGACUGUGUAACAGAGCGAGAUAGCCACGGACUUCCUAGUAGGCUCCACUUCCCUACCCAAGCCACAGCAACACACACGGAAGACUAGAUGACGUCCUUUGGGGAGUGCGCAUUCUGAGAAAACUUACAUGAAGCAUCUAUAACCGCGCCCAGCUUAAGAUAAGGCACACCUCGUUUCACCUCUUUGUGCUUCUGCACAGAAAAUCAGACCUUCUGUUGCAAGAUGGCCCUAAGGAUUUGACAUUGAUCACCAUCAUAGAAUUGGAACUUACAAAUAUUUUUCUCUUGGUAACACUCUGCAGAUGGUUAAGAGCCAGCACGUGGUUGCUGGGGAUUGAACUCAGGACACUGUAGCUAACCAUUGUCGGUAACUCCAGUUCCCGGAACUCCAGCACUGUCUCUGCCCUCCAUGGGCAGCCCACAUGCGAGUGAUGCACACAUACAUACAAGUAAAGCACCCGCAUAGACAGCAAAACUUUGAAGAAAGAUAAUUUGUUUCCAGCAAAUCUGGACUAUAAGAAUGUCUGACAAACAACUUAAAUCAAGAAAGAGAGUUUGUUCACCUCCUGACAGACAAGAGAUGGGGAGGUGCAGAAGAAAGAGAGAAGAACAGAGAGGAAGAGAGGGGAGGGAAAAAGGAGAGGAAAGCAGUCUGGGGCAAGAAAGAUCCAAGGACCCACUGUAGUGACUUACUUCCUUCAGCUGCAAAGUGGCUAUAAGUUUCAAGUGGUCCCUGAAAGAACACCUCAGCUGGACUCAACCCCUCAAAUCACAAGCCUUUUGGAAGACCAGUUCACAUCCAAACUGAACAGUACAUUUCCUAGAACACCAAAGUCUCAUGUGCGUCUCACAAGGUAAUAUUUGGUAUACCAAGGGUUCCCAAAGCCUUAUCAGUUCAAACAUUGUUGACAAUUUAGGUUCAAUUAAGAUCUGAGACUCAAGGCAAAUUUUUACUCUUAGGCUCUAUAAAAUAAAACAA